GUGAGGCAGGUUGCAGGAGAGUAUUUAGAAGUUGAGGUUUAGCAAAAUGUUUUAAAAGAUAUGCUUAGAAAAAUAUAUAUUUUUUAAAAAGCGAUAUAUACAACACGACGUCUGACUGGAUGAAGAAGAAUCUCAAAUAUAUUUUGAUUUGUUUAACACGGUUUUGGUUACUACACGAUUCCAUAUGUGUUAUUUCAUAGUUUUGAUGGUCUUCACUAUUACUACUAUUUUUUUUAAUGAAGAACCCUUGAAUGAGUAGGUGUCCAAACUUAGGACCGGUACUUUAUUUGACCAAAUUGAACCAUGUACUCAUUUGCUUACUGACCAUAUCAUUAAGCAAAAGUUCCUUUUUUUCUGUACAUCGAGUCAUUUAGCAGACGCUCUUAUUCAGAGACGUACACCUCCUCCUAUAAUACAGGUCUCUUACCGAAAGCCUCCUGAGCCAAUAGAAGAUCAGCGUCCUCCUGUAAUACAGGUCUCUUACCGAAAGCCUCCUGAGCCAAUAGAAGAUCAGCGUCCUCCUGAAAUACAGGUCUCUUACCGAAAGCCUCCUGAGCCAAUAGAAGAUCAGCGUCCUCCUGAAAUACAGGUCUCUUACCGAAAGCCUCCUGAGCCAAUAGAAGAUCAGCGUCCUCCUGAAAUACAGGUCUCUUACCGAAAGCCUCCUGAGCCAAUAGAAGAUCAGCGUCCUCCUGAAAUACAGGUCUCUUACCGAAAGCCUCCUGAGCCAAUAGAAGAUCAGCGUCCUCCUGAAAUACAGGUCUCUUACCGAAAGCCUCCUGAGCCAAUAGAAGAUCAGCGUCCUCCUGAAAUACAGGUCUCUUACCGAAAGCCUCCUGAGCCAAUAGAAGAUCAGCGUCCUCCUGAAAUACAGGUCUCUUACCGAAAGCCUCCUGAGCCAAUAGAAGAUCAGCGUCCUCCUGAAAUACAGGUCUCUUACCGAAAGCCUCCUGAGCCAAUAGAAGAUCAGCGUCCUCCUGUAG